AGAGUUUGAUCCUGGCUCAGAUUGAACGCNGGCGGCAGGCCUAACACAUGCAAGUCGAACGGUAACAGAGAGCAGCNUGCUGCUCUGCUGACGAGUGGCGGACGGGUGAGUAAUGUCUGGGGAUCUGCCCGAUGGAGGGGGAUAACCACUGGAAACGGUGGAUAAUACCGCAUAACGUCGCAAGACCAAAUAAAAGGACGUUUGGGCCUCACACCAUCGGAUGAACCCAGAUGCGAUUAGUUAGUAGGUGGGGAAACGGUUCACAUAGGCGACGAUCCUUAGCUGGUUUGAGAGGAUGUCCAGCCACACUGGAAUUGAGACACGGUCCAGAUUCUUACGGGAGGCAGCAGUGGGGAUUAUUGCNCANUGGGCGCAAGCCNGANGCAGCCAUGCCGCGUGUAUGAAGAAGGCCUUCGGGUUGUAAAGUACUUUCAGCGGGGAGGAAGGGAUGGAGNNUAAUACGCUUCGUCAUNGACGUUACCCGCAGAAGAAGCACCGGCUAACUCCGUGCCAGCAGCCGCGGUAAUACGGAGGGNGCAAGCGUUAAUCGGAAUUACUGGGNGUAAAGCGCANGCAGGCGGUCUGUCAAGUCGGAUGUGAAAUCCCCGGGCUCAACCCGGGAACNGCAUUNGAAACNGGCAGGNUAGAGUGUNGAAGAGGGGGGUAGAAUUCCAGGUGUAGCGGUGAAAUGCGUAGAGAUUNGGAGGAACACCGGGGNGAAGGCGGCCCC
rnacentral:rRNA from 1 species